GGAAGGAUCAUUAACAAAGCUUGAAGUUCGCUCAACCGCGUCUUCAACAAAUCCAUCCACACCUUGUGCAAUAUUGACCUCGAGGCAAGUUCUUUCGAGAAUUUGCUGGUCUUGUGGGGGGAAAAACCUAAAGGAUAGGCAGCAAUGCUUAACCUUUAAGCCCCCCAAAAGUAUUUAACCUAUUCGUUUUUUGUUUGUCUGAAACUUUUUAUUGAUACAAUAAAAACAACUUUCAACAACGGAUCUCUUGGUUCUCGCAUCGAUGAAGAACGCAGCGAAAUGCGAUACGUAAUGUGAAUUGCAGAAUUCAGUGAAUCAUCGAAUCUUUGAACGCACAUUGCACUCUUUGGUAACCCGAAGAGUAUGCCUGUUUCAGAUAUAAGUCACUAUGAACUCUGAGGGGGUGUUUGCCAACUCAGUUUUCAUGACUUGAACUUUCCAGACUCAUUACGCGUCUGGUGGUUUAAAAUAAAAGCAUGGACGGUCUUCUUGACUCAUCCGCACGCAAAAGUGUAAUACGAGCUGUCAAAGGCUUCAUUCACUUCUUGCUAGGACGUCAGAUGUAUCGAUUUAAUCCAUGGUCGCAGGAAAUCGGGGGACUACGCAAGUAGAACCUAUCCAUAGCGGCAUCUGAAAUCAGGUAGGACUACCCGCUGAACUUAAGCAUAUCAAUAAGCGGAGGAAAAGAAACUAACAAGGAUUCCCCUAGUAACGGCGAGUGAAGCGGGAAAAGCUCAAAUUUGAAACCUGGCCUCUUCGAGGAAAAUGUCGCAGGGUUGUAGUUUAUAGAGGCGUUUUCGAUGGAAUCCUGGGUAUAAGUCUUUUGGAACAAGGCAUCAUAGAGGGUGAGAAUCCCGUCUUUGACUCAGAGUUUUCCAUUAUGUGAUACGUCUUCAUAGAGUCGAGUUGUUUGGGAAUGCAGCUCAAAAUGGGUGGUAAAUCUCAUCUAAAGCUAAAUAUUGGCGAGAGACCGAUAGCGAACAAGUACCGUGAGGGAAAGAUGAAAAGAACUUUGAAAAGAGAGUUAAACAGUACGUGAAAUUGUUGAAAGGGAAACGUUUGAAAUCAGUCAUUUCUUCUGGAAAUCAGCCUUGCUUUUGCAUGGUGUAUUUUCCAGUUGAAAGGUUAACGUCAAUUUUGGUUGUCGGAUAAAAGCCUUUGGAAUGUGGCUCUCUUCGGGGAGUGUUAUAGCCAAGGUCAAUACGAUGGCUGGGAUUGAGGAUUCGCCGCCAAUGCUCUCUGGGCAGUGGCAUCAUGCGCUCAGGUUAACACUCUGCUAGACAGCUUGCUGACUAGUAGUUUGAAGAUUUGACUCGUGUGGUUCCCACUAAUUGGCGUAGGACGUUAACUUAAUGGUUUUAAACGACCCGUCUUGAAACACGGACCAAGGAGUCUAACAUAUAUGCGAGUAUUUGGGUGGCAAACCCAUAUGCGUAAUGAAAGUGAACAUAGGUGGGAUCCUCACGGAGCACCAUCGACCGGUCUGGAUUUUUUAAUGAAAGAUCUGAGUAGGAGCAUAUAUGCUGGGACCCGAAAGAUGGUGAACUAUGCCUGAAUAGGGUGAAGCCAGGGGAAACCCUGGUGGAGGCUCGUAGCGAUUCUGACGUGCAAAUCGAUCGUCAAAUUUGGGUAUAGGGGCGAAAGACUAAUCGAACCAUCUAGUAGCUGGUUCCUGC
rnacentral:misc_RNA from 1 species